rnacentral:lncRNA from 1 species
AGAGUGACGCUUUGAUGGUAUCUGCAAGCGUUUUUGCUGAUCUUAUCUCUGCCCCCUGAAUAUUAAUUCCCUAAUCUGGUAGCAAUCCAUCUCCCCAGUGAAGGACCUACUAGAGGCAGGUGGGGGGAGCCACCAUCAGAUCAUAAGCAUAAGAAUAAUACAAAGGGGAGGGAUUCUUCUGCAACCAAGAGGCAAGAGGCGAGAGAAGGAAAAAAAAAAAAGCGAUGAGUUCGCCAAAUAUAUGGAGCACAGGAAGCUCAGUCUACUCGACUCCUGUAUUUUCACAGAAAAUGACGGUGUGGAUUCUGCUCCUGCUGUCGCUCUACCCUGGCUUCACUAGCCAGAAAUCUGAUGAUGACUAUGAAGAUUAUGCUUCUAACAAAACAUGGGUCUUGACUCCAAAAGUUCCUGAGGGUGAUGUCACUGUCAUCUUAAACAACCUGCUGGAAGGAUAUGACAAUAAACUUCGGCCUGAUAUAGGAGGUUUGUUAAAGUCUUUUGCGUUGUGCUAUAGAUAGGAGCACAUAAACAUGUCUACUUUAAUAGAUAAAACAUCAGUGUAGUUCAAGAGCAAGGAAGAUUUAAAUUAUACUUUUUUAUAUGUUGUAAAAGUAGUGUUUAAAUAGCAUUCAGGCCUAUGAGUGGGAGAGGUGUCAAUACAUUCAAAAUGAAGAAAUAUUAUUUUCAAGUGAAGCUUGAGAGCUAGAGUUAGAAAUUCACAUAUUGCUAGAUAUCUCAGAUAGAAGCUGUAGGAAAAAAAAAACAAUGACCCCUUUAUGAAGCAACAUAAACAAAUCAAACAAGACAAUAACAGUAAAGAGAGGAUAUAUUGUUUGCCUGUUUUUGUGUAACAAACAACCAGAAAAUCUCAAUGACAUAUGACAGUAAACAUGUAUAUAAUACUCCCCUCAGAGAUAUACUAAUCUAUGCUAAAGCAAGCUGGAGCUGCUUAUUUAGGGCAACUGUACUUUACGUGUUCCUCGUUCUACUCUUGGGACCAGCAGGUAGCUAGGACAACCCUUCUCACAGUGGUAGAAAACAGCCAGAGAGUAAGUAGAAGCUCAUGAGGCUGAAUGCUUAGGCCUAGCACUGGCACACUCGCUUUUGUAUAUAUAUUAUUAGCCGAAGCCAAUCAGAUGAUCCAGCCCAAAGUCGAGAGGCAGAGGAAUAGCCUUAUCCAGGAGAAGGCAAGGAUGUGAAUGCCGGUUAUAGAGAAUUCAGUCCACCACAGUGAGUUAGGACAUGACACUUUCAAGGAAAAAAA